rnacentral:rRNA from 1 species
AUUGAACGCCGGCGGCAUGCCUUACACAUGCAAGUCGAACGGCAGCAUGGAGAGCUUGCUCUCUGAUGGCGAGUGGCGAACGGGUGAGUAAUGCAUCGGAACGUACCGUGUAAUGGGGGAUAACGUAGCGAAAGUUACGCUAAUACCGCAUACGACCUGAGGGUGAAAGCAGGGGAUCGCAAGACCUUGCGUUAUACGAGCGGCCGAUGUCAGAUUAGCUAGUUGGUGAGGUAAAGGCUCACCAAGGCGACGACCUGUAGCGGGUCUGAGAGGAUGAUCCGCCACACUGGGACUGAGACACGGCCCAGACUCCUACGGGAGACAGCAGUGGGGAAUUUUGGACAAUGGGGGCAACCCUGAUCCAGCCAUGCCGCGUGAGUGAAGAAGGCCUUCGGGUUGUAAAGCUCCUUCGGCCGGGAAGAAAUCGCACAGGCUAAUACUCUGUGUGGAUGACGGUACCGGCAUAAGAAGCACCGGCUAACUACGUGCCAGCCGCCGCAGUAACAC